rnacentral:misc_RNA from 1 species
AUUUCUUGGGAUUGAUUUCUUUGGGGAAAAUAUCUAGCUGUCACAUCAAAUUCCUGAAGUCUAAUAUGACGUAUUUACAGUAGAUUAUAAUGUGAAAAUUUUUUAAUUAUCAGAAUAAUAGAGUGUAAGGCAUUAAGUGAAAUUUAAGAGCAUAUAAAUACUCUCUAGAAAAUGUAGUAUAAAUAAUUUACUUCAAAGUGUGUGUUGUGUAGCCAUAUUAGCUGAAAAUGUAUUAAAAUCCGUGAUGUUUCAAUACUAUCUCUUUCUUAUAGGUUAUACAUAACUUAGAAAAGAUGUGAAUAGGAUGAAAAUUCAUGAAAAUACUUAUCAUAAUAUAAUAAAUUAUUUUUUAAAAAUACUGCAAUGAGUUGGUUAAAAAAUAAUGCAUUUAUAAAUAAUGCAAAUAGACAAUGUCCUCAAAAUAUUCCUACGAAUAUUACUGAUCGUAGUGCAUGUUAUGAUAGUUUUUGUAAACAUUGGCAGCAAGCACAUGACAUUAUAAAACAGUCAUUUUUGACAACAAAUGAAUCAAUCCACGAUUAUUUAGUGGCGUUUAAUAAUCAUAUAGAUCAAAUGGUGACAUUAUUAAUAAUUGAAUUUCGCAAUAAUACUACUCUUAAAAAUUGUCACUUAACUGUUCAAUCAAAUUUAUUAUGUCUAGAAUAUUUGUUAAGUGAAAAUUUACUUGAUAUUGUGUAUGAUUGGAGUGCAGUAACUAGAAGCAAUACUGUAGAUUUAAAAGUUAUAAAAUUAUUUGAAUUAUUAAUAUCGUAUAAUGCAUCAAUUAUUGGUCACGAGCCGAUAUUAAGGCCUCUGUUGAAGUUACUUAAAUCUUAUGAGAAUGAUGUCCUAUCACCGGAUUUAGAAACAGAAUUGAUAAAUUUGCUUCACAGUAUUUGUGUCGCAUUAACACUAAAUUCAACGCUUGUGGAUGUCUUUUUUUGUUCAUCGACAGAUGACUCGAAACGCAAAUUCUUAAUACUUUCAUUAUUAUUACCUUUCAUACAUCGAGAAGGAACAAUCGGUCAAAAAGCUCGAGAUGCUAUGUUAUUAUUCAUAUCACUGUCACAGAAAAAUCCUGACAUGGCUGAUUAUUUAUCAGAAAAUUCUAAUGUCUGUCCGAUUUUAGCUACUGGAAUAAGUGGUUUAUAUUCAUUAUUACCGCGAAAACUUGAUAUUCCAAAUGAAGAUUGGUGCAGACUAACGCCUGAAAAUGUUUGCAACAUCUCAUCAUUAAAUCAUCUAAUUCGUUGUUUAGAAUUUUGUAAUGCUGUUGCAAGACUUUCACACAUAUCUGUACAGAAAAAAUUAUCAGAAUACUUAUAUCAAGGUUUUUUAGUUUCUGUGUUAGGUCCAGCAUUAUUACAGACGUCUUUAGAUGAAGCAAUCACCGCUACAAUUUAUUUAGAAUUAUUCUUGCACAAAGUCACAAAUCCUGGGCUUUUAUACACAAUAAUCAAAUUUUUACUAGAAUCAAAUUAUGAUGGGUAUAGAAUAUUAGAUGUAUUAAUCCAAAGAAUCGCUACUAAUUCAAAAUUAUGCAUCGUAACUCUAGCACUUUUUGAAACUUUAGUAGAUCUGAAUAAUGAAGACAUAAUGCUAGAGUUAUGUUUCUCAUCUUUAUCUCCUUGCUCUCAUGUUAUGCUUUCACAACGUAGUAAGCUACAAGAUUUGGAUUUUUCUGGAAAUACCGCGAAGAAGAUAUUAUCACUGCGGCCAACUUGCUGUUUAUCUUGGACAAAUUGUGUAGAGAAUAAAUACGAAUCUACCAAUUCUAAUAUUUCAUAUGAAAACUCAGAAUCGUUGAUGUCUCCAACGUUAUCAUUAUGUAGCCAACUCGAUGACAGUCUUAUUGGCAAUUAUUUUGCUUAUCUUUACAAUGCAAGAACACAAAUUAUUUUAUGCAGAUUAUCAUGUUCUAAUUGGUCAUCAAAGUAUGAUGGUAGUGAUAACAAUGAGAAAAAUCAUUUUUAUAAUGAAGAGAAAAAAUCCGAAGCUUAUUUUGAAAAAAGAGAAUCAUAUUCAUCAACUGAUGAUAUCAUAGAAAAUGUUAAAUCAUUAAUUGAUCAUAAUCAACCAUCAUAUAUUGAUUAUAAUAAUCAAGAAAACUCACUCAACGCCUUGGAAGAGAUACUUGAGAAUAAAAAUAAAAAUAAUGAAAGCUUCGCACUUGCAUUGUCAGAUACACUUACAGAUAGGCUUUAUAUUAAUGAUAAUAAUGAACCCGACAAUAUCAAUGCUAAAGAAUUCAUUCAAUGUAAUAGUAAUUGUGACAAAUUACCUGUUCAAAACUCAAUGGAGUUAGACGUAACUGAUGCUCAAUUUAAACAGCCAAUUUUAUCUUCUAAUAAUAAUAAUAAUAUUAACAAUAAUAAUAAUAUUAUUCAGAAUCAUAAGAAUAAUAAAAAUAGUAAUGAAAAAAGUACAAAUAAAAAUAGUUCGCUAAUGAUUUAUAAUACAUCUAUGAAUGAUGAAGAUACAAUCAGCAAGCCAAGUGUUGGAAAAUUUUUAGAUGUUAUUUUAAAGAAGUUGGAAUUCAUGACUAGUAAUAAUUUGUAUGUUAACUUGCGCCUAACUGGGCUUAUUAGCCGACUUGCCAUUUAUCAACAGCCAUUAUUACAAUCUUUUUUACUUAAUCCGUCAUUAGUCUUCCAGCCAAGUAUUCGUUCGUUAUUUCAAAUCGGCCAAAACGUAAAAGCCUGACAUCUCACUUCACGCAAAUAUUCAAAUUUGGUGUCAAUGGUGUGCCACAAUACCAAAAACCGAAUUCAACGACGUACUUGAACGAGAAUAAUAACUCCCAUGGCUGUCCCGAAUCAAUGAUGUCAAUAAUUUCAACAACUCAACACGUUGUAUUGUGCGCUGUCAUACUAGAUGAAUGGCUUAAAGAAUUAUCAGCAAUAACACAAGAGCAUUGUAUUUUAUCAUUAGACAUGUAAAAAAAGUGU